rnacentral:rRNA from 1 species
AGCGAACGCUGGCGGCAGGCUUAACACAUGCAAGUCGAACGGGCGUAGCAAUACGUCAGCGGCAGACGGGUGAGUAACGCGUGGGAACGUACCUUUUGGUUCGGAACAACACAGGGAAACUUGUGCUAAUACCGGAUAAGCCCUUACGGGGAAAGAUUUAUCGCCGAAAGAUCGGCCCGCGUCUGAUUAGCUAGUUGGUGAGGUAACGGCUCACCAAGGCGACGAUCAGUAGCUGGUCUGAGAGGAUGAUCAGCCACAUUGGGACUGAGACACGGCCCAAACUCCUACGGGAGGCAGCAGUGGGGAAUAUUGGACAAUGGGGGCAACCCUGAUCCAGCCAUGCCGCGUGAGUGAUGAAGGCCCUAGGGUUGUAAAGCUCUUUUGUGCGGGAAGAUAAUGACGGUACCGCAAGAAUAAGCCCCGGCUAACUUCGUG